rnacentral:tRNA from 1 species
GUGGCCGUGUUCUAACGGAAAGAUGUGGGUCUCCAAAACCUUACGAUGAGGGUUCGAAUCCUUCCGGUUAUG